rnacentral:rRNA from 1 species
UACAGAGGAUGCAAGCGUUAUCCGGAAUGAUUGGGCGUAAAGCGUCUGUAGGUGGCUUUUUAAGUCCGCCGUCAAAUCCCAGGGCUCAACUCUGGACAGGCGGUGGAAACUACCAAGCUUGAGUACGGUAGGGGCAGAUGGAAUUCCGGGUGUAGCGGUGGAAUGCGUAGAGAUCCGGAAGAACACCGGUGGCGAAGGCAAUCCCCUGGGCCUGCACUGACGCUCAUGCACGAAAGCGUGGGGAGCAAACAGG